rnacentral:rRNA from 1 species
GUACGGGGGGCAAGCGUUGUUCGGAAUUACUGGGCGUAAAGGGCGCGUAGGCGGUUCGCUAAGUCGGGAUGUGAAAACUCUGGGCUCAACCCAGAGCCUGCAUCCGAAACUGGCGGGCUAGAGUUCUGGAGGGGUAGCGGAAUUCUGGUGUAGCGGUGAAAUGCGUAGAUAUCAGGAGGAACACCGGUGGCGAAGGCGGCUACCUGGACAGAAACUGACGUGGAGGCG